GCGGAUGUAGCUCAGCUUGGCCAGAGCGUCGGCUUGCCAUGUCGAAGGUCCAGGGUUCGAGUCCCUGUAUCCGCA
rnacentral:tRNA from 1 species